GGCAAGAUGGCCGAGCGGUCUAAGGCGCUAGCUUCAGGUGCUAGUAGAGAAAUCUGCGUGGGUGUAUGUUUAAUCCUUCAUCAAGACGGCGAUUCGAGACUUUGUACUGACAUGAUUUAGUCGAAUCCCACUCUUGUCA
rnacentral:tRNA from 1 species